GAAAAAGAAGUGCACUGUGGAGGAAAUUCAUUCAUCAGUACAGACUUGACCUGGAUGAACUUUAAGUGUUUUUGUGUCAAAGAUUUCCAAGAUGUCAUACUUAUUUACACGAAGAGAGUGGCUCUGAAGGCUAUGAUUUAAACCUGGAAACAGACCACCACCGCAAUAAACAAACAGCAAAUGUGAAUCAAAAGGAGUGUCUCACCGAACAAUGGCAGGGUGCCGGCCACACCCAGGAACAUUUGCGGGGCUGUGCUGCUGCUGAUACUCAAGAGACUUCAGCUGGUGCCAGCCCGCCCCAGAAAAAGUGCGCGAGAUAGUGUAGCAGCAGCGUUUCAGGGACUAUGAAAAAUCACAAGGCACAUCUGGCACCAGGCUUCACCCUUAACGACCUUGUUCCAGCACCAGCGAAUGUGGUUGUUCUCCCAGGUCCACUGGGGCCUUGCCUUUGGGGGACCCACACAGCCUCCACCAGGUGUCCUCCCAGCAGGGGAACCGCCUCUCCCCGUGUGGCCUGAAGAACCCCGGACUCCACUCUGCUCCUGAGGAUUCGCCCGUCUUACCAGAGCACCACCAGGAGUUUAUAAACCGAUAUUUCUACCAUGACAAUGAUGGCUACAAUACAUGAAAUUCCAUGUACAGACACUGUGCUGAUAUUAUAUGGUAAACUCUUUAUUAUUCAGAAAAUAAGACUUCUAUGGUAAGAAUUCCCUAUUCCCUCUUUCACAAAAAAAAUUAUCCUUCACCUCCUGGGCAGAGGGAAAGGGGUUUUGCCAGUUUAAAAAAGCUGCAUCUUACAUUCAAACUCGUUUCCUUGGCAGGACACAUCCUUAACAACAUUUGAAAUCCUUGAAAUCUUUUCUCUCCUGCUGCAUAUAAGCUACUGGUACUCAAACCAUCUUUUGGACAUAUGAUUACCAUCUCAGAAACCUCACUGUCCACCACCAUCCUUCGUUCUUUACAGCAUCCCGUCUUUUCAUGCAUUUAAGUAGAAUCACCCCCUCUUUUUGCAAGCGGAUUUCUGUUCCCUGGAUCACAUUAUCUGAUGCGCUAACAACCCUUCCAGAAAUAAUGAUCCUGUGACGCGUGGUCCGCUCCUCUUUCUCCAGAGCUGCAUCACUGAUUUUUUUUGAAAGUGGAUGAAAACAUCAAGUAGCUCAAUCUAGUUUGCUUUUAUGUGUGGGGGAAAAAUGACUCCAUUUUGUUUUACUGUAUUCUGUGUUUUUUAAAAAAUAUCAUUAAAUGCUGAUCAUAUCUUUUAUAACUUAUAGAGACCUGGAAUAUGUUUCAGAAUGGCUGUGAACUACAUUUCUGAGGAAUUUUAUGUUAGAGGAGCCGUUUGUGGCUGACAAAGCAUGCUAAUAAAUUGGAUCCUGUCCCUAUUUCAAGCCCCCCAUGGACCCCACUAUUA